GUUUUUCGGAAGUUGAAAUAUUACACCAGAUGACCGGACGUGACCAACUCCGAUAAAACAGAGAAACAAAACAUUACUAAAUUAUUGGUAAUAUUUCUCUUAGCUCUCUCACGCACCUACACCACCUACUGUGAGUUAGAUCAGUUCUCUAUACAAGAUAAAUUCUUUACCUCGAAAACUGCAGACCAAUAACAAGAAGUUUUAUUUUCAUAUUAUACUUUCCCAUAAGUGUUCGGCGAGUAUCCGCUACGUUUAUCCGUGUUACUUCCAGGGUUCACGCUUAUAAAAGUAAUGUUAUUACUAAUCAUUGUAAGUACACAGAGGACUUUAUCAUAUUAUUAUUAACUACAGUUUUAUGUAAUUUUGUCCUCCAGCGGGACCUCCAGCCAUCACCCGGAUACAUUCUACAACUUCAGACUCUUUAUUGGUGGUGGGGAGCCCCCAGAGAAGCCCAGAGGCAUCAUAACAAACUACAAUGUUACCUGGAACACGUCGGUCGUGGCCGGUGUCACUGGAAACAUUACCCAGUACAAUAUCACCAGCCUGGAGCGUGUACCCUCUACAAUAUCAUUGUCAAGGCCGCCACUAUCAAAGGUUAUGGUGACGGGGUGACGCCCGUGGCAGUACAGAUGGGAACCCUCCAGAGGCAACACAGAAGGUCAGCUGUGACCUGCCCACUUCCCCUCACGACCUGACCGUCACAUGGUCGAGUAUCAUGUCAAGUUGUCCAGUACUGAGGUAUACAGUAAACUACACUGGCCACGUGCUGUGGUCACACGACAACACACACGGCUCACGAGACACAGACACCAUAUAUGUGGACUUGAGGAACUUAACACCGUGGACGGCUUACAACGUGUGUGUAGCUGGAGUGAUUGUCAACAACAUUGUUGGUGCCUGGAACUGUUGCCAAGCCACUACCCCGGAGUCAGGUGAGAGUCUUGGUGUUACUGGUGACACAACAUGACUACCACUACCCCGGAGUCAGGUGAGAGUCUUGGUGUUACUGGUGACACAACAUGACUACCACUACCCCGGAGUCAGGUGAGAGUCUUGGUGUUACUGGUGACACAGCAUCACUACUACCCCGGAAUCAGUUGAGAAUCUUGGUGUUACUGGUGACACAGCAUCACCACUACCCCGG